rnacentral:rRNA from 1 species
AACGAACGCUGGCGGCAUGCCUAACACAUGCAAGUCGAACGAGACCUUCGGGUCUCGUGUCGCACGGGUGCUUAACGCGUGGGACCCUGCCCUUAGGUUCGGAAUAACUCCCCGAAAGGGGUGCUAAUACCGGAUAAUGUCUUCGGACCAAAGAUUUAUCGCCUUUGGAUGGGCCCGCGUUGGAUUAGCUAGUUGGUAGGGUAAAAGCCUACCAAGGCGACGAUCCUUAGCUGGUCUGAGAGGAUGAUCAGCCAAACUGGGACUGAGACACGGCCCAGACUCCUACGGGAGGCAGCAGUGGGGAAUAUUGGACAAUGGGCGAAAGCCUGAUCCAGCAAUGCCGCGUGAGUGAUGAAGGCCUUAGGGUUGUAAAGCUCUUUUACCCGGGAUGAUAAUGACAGUACCGGGAGAAUAAGCUCCGGCUAACUCCGUG